AUGAAUCUUGGUACUCUUGUUAUCAUGGUGACUUUGCUGGUGUAUUUUGUCUUGAAGAAUAUAAGAGUGCUACUGUCCCAGCAGCAACGUGGGCGACGAGGCAGGCUGCCCCCGGGGCCUGUCACGCUGCCCAUCAUCGGUAACAUGCACCAGCUGAUUCUGAACAAGCCAGCAGUAUUCCGGUGGAUCCAUGGCCUGCUCAAGGAGAUGAAAACAGACAUCAUGUGCCUCCGUCUUGGGGCUACUCAUGUCAUUGUGGUGGCAUGCCCACAGAUAGUCUGUGAGGUACUGCGAACAAAAGAUGAAGUUUUCGCCUCCCGUCCCACCACCUUCGCCUCAGGCUUAUUCAGCUUCGGGUACAAGGGCUCCAUCUUCUCACCACAAGGAGAGCAGUGGAAGAAGAUGAGGCGUGUCCUCACCGUUGAGAUCCUCGCCUCGUCCAUGGAGGGAAAGCUCCACCACCUCCGGAAAGAGGAGUACGACCACCUUGUGAGGUACAUUAAUAAAACUCUUUCCAGUGACAUGGCAUGUCCAAUCAACAUUGUCAACAUUCGUCAUGUAACCCAACACUACGUUGGUAACAUGAUAAGAAGGCUUGUGUUCGAUAAAAGAUACUUCAGUGACCUACCAGCUUCAUCCACUAGUGGGCCUGGACAUGAUGAGGUGGCACAUGUUGCCGCUCUCUUCACAGUCCUCAACCAUCUCUACAGCUUUUGCGUGUCCGACUACUUCCCAGCCCUCAUAGGCCUCGACCUGGAUGGCCAUGAAAAGGUUUCCAAGGAUGCCAUGCAAACAAUCAUCCGGUUGCAUGAUCCUAUUAUAGAGGAGCGAAUCCGCGAAAGGUCAUCCACUCUUGAGAAAUUUGGUGAAAAGAAUGAGGCCAGAGACUUUCUGGACGUCCUGGUUCAUCUUAAAGAUGCAGAGGGACAACCAAUGCUUUCCCUAGAAGAGAUUAGAGCACAAACAGCGGAAAUGAUGUUUGCAGCAGUCGAUAACCCAUCUAAUGCGGUUGAGUGGGCACUCGCUGAGAUGAUGAACAUGCCAGAGAUCAUGCAAAAAGCAACAGAGGAACUCGAUGCUGUCGUCGGUAAAGAUAGACUGGUGCAGGAGUCUGACAUUCCUUAG
rnacentral:rRNA from 1 species